UUCCUGUAAAAGAUAUCCAAGAAAAAGACAGAAGUUGGAACACUGUACAAGGAUUAUGAAGAAUGUCACGUGUUAUUCAGAAGUAAAACAGAGCAAACAAUGGUACUUUUACAGCUGAGUUGAAGUGCUGCUUUCAAACAGAACUGCCACUGAUGACUAAACAAUGGUUUGCAGCUCGUAAGUCAUAAGGUUAUUUCACUUGGUGUUACGUGCUAAAUUUAUCUGCGUGUUUUAACUGAUUGCACACAUGGCUUUACCACACACAUGGCUCUUUGUAAAAGUGAUUGGUGGUGUAAGGUUUACCUGUUCUGGACAUGCCAUUGCAAGCACCAACACAAAGCCCACAAUUUCUAAGCUAAAUCAACACUGCUGGGGUAACUUUUUGUUUGUUUCGUUUGUUUUUAAAUAUAAUAAAUAGAACAGUAGCUCAAAAGCCAGACUUAACUGGUUGUAAACCAUGCUUUUCAUCCUCAUAGGAUGCUCCUAUCAAAUGAAGCUGCUAGUGACAGUCUGAGCAAUCAUUUGGAUAAGAAGAGCACUGAUAUGGACUGAUACAUUUAGCAGUGGUUCUGCAGGAGCAGAUACUGGAGCCCUUGGUCUCCUCACACCAGAGGAAAUCACAGUCACAGGAACCACAUGUACCAGGGAACUCUCAGUAUAAAUCAUGGCAAUAUCAGGGCUGCUGAACCUUGCACAGCUUCACCUCCAGCACAAGCAGAGCACACCCACCUGCUGAGAUUUAAGCCUGAGUGCAAUCAGUGUGGGAUUUCUGCUGCUGUGCUACUUUCCUGUGCAAAAUACACACAGUUUGUGCUUCCAGUAGCCUUUGUGACAAAGAACAGCCCCAAAACUCUGCAUUCUGUCACCUUUAUGACCACAUCGUGCAGGAGUAUUACAGAAAGGGGCACAUAGGAACCAGGAGAUGCACCACCUGCACAUCCCUUAACAACAUCUCUCUAAUUGCAAUUUCCCACCAACCAAUACGGAAUUGGCCGGGGGGGAUGGCAAGGUGGAACCCAUCAACACACAGAUGACAGACACCUGGGCAAGGCAGCUUAUAACGGGCUGAAGGAGCACUUCCCUUUUGCAUGAGCAGGAAGGAAGCAAUGGGAGCCCCUCCCUGGCAGCUGCAGGUGAUUUUUCCCACCGUUUAAGCAGCAUAAGAGUUGAUAUGAUCCUCCAUUCCUCCUCUCGCAGCCUCAGGUUCCCUUCAGGGCCCGGGGCCAGGCCCAGACGUGCCGCGCUCCCCGCUGAGGGCCGCGGCCUCCGAGCGUUCUACCUCCCUCCCCCUCAUAAGCGGGCUGUGGCCUCUGGAACCACCCAAGGAACCGUUCAUCGGGUAAAUCGAAGGGAAAGAGGGGUCGGGGUGCUGGCGGUGAGGGAAGGAGGGAUGAAUAAGGGCCCCACGCCGCCGCCGCUCACCUGAGCUCCGCCGAGGGCCGCCGGGAGGAGGGGGCGAGCAGCGCGCAUGCGCGGUGAGGAGGCGGGAAGAGGCGGUGUGGGGCUGUGGUGCCUCACAGCACAUCAGUUCAAAAAGCUCAAUUUCAGUCAAAUAUCGAGCACAAGUGACUAAAGCUUUCUAAAAACCCCAGCUGUAGCUGUGCACACAGAGUUUGCUGUGAGCAAUGAAUGUAUUUCCCUGUUGCGCAUCUGUUGAACUGGAGUUUCUCAAAGACUAUUUUGAUUGUGAGCAUUAAAAAACAGAAUGCAGAGGAGAAAUUGUUUGUAUGAGGGCAUGUUUAUUCAUGAUAACAGGACUGCUGCAAAAUGCAAAAUAUUUUGAGUGUUGCUCCAGUCAUCAGGUGGAGGCCAUAGUGCAUCCAGCUGCUCUGGAUGAAGUUACCUUGUCUGCAGGGAAAAGGUUUGACUCCACCAGAGAUGCUCAGAGCUACAUAAUUUCUGUUCUUAAUUAGCACAUCAGUAGUACGGCCAGCCCCUAAUUUCACAGCUCAGUGGUGCUUGCAUUCCCUUGGCACGGGGCUCAGGUCAGAACUGGCUGAGGCAGGGAAGUGCCAACUCCAAGAGAUGACUCAGAGGGAGGCAGAGCAUGAGUCCAGAGCCUCUCACUCAACUCACAAGUGCCCUAAGCCAGUGUGUGAGAUGCCAGUAUUCAAUUGUAGGACUUUACAGGAAGUUGCUACGUGAGGUUUGAUGGCAUAGGCUCCUGCUAAGUACCUGUAACAACCAGAUUUUGGGAUAAGCUUGUCUCUUGUGGCCAAGAAGAGAACCAAGAUGCUUAGGAGGCCUGACAGUUUGAUUUGCUGUCACUUGUGUUCAUGGGAUAAAGGCUUAAAUCCUCUUUUAUGUUCCUUUAUACCAAGCAGAAGUGGAAAUAUGCAGCUCAAAUAAAAGCAGAAGCAGCAUAAAACAGCUUAUUUCAAGAGAUGCAAAACAAAAAACCCCUUCUCAGAUUCUGGGAUUGUCUCCAAGAAAGGGAAAACAAGUACAAAAAUAAUUCAUGCGUAUUAAGCUGGCUUCUGUUUCAAUCAUGACUCAAAUGUUCUAUAGUAUGGCUUUUAAGUGCAAUUCAUUCAGAAGUCUUAAGUGUUUUAUAACUUUUCAUUACUUAUUUUAACUUAUAUUCCAUGCACGGAAUAUUGAAAAAGCCCUUUUUCAGCCACAAGAUUCAGAAACUAGAAUCCAAUUGUCCCAGUGUAAGAAAUGGUAUUUAGCCACACCCUGAAUGCCCUGUUCCAUGCUGGUUGUAUAAGCAGCAAAAGAACCUUUCCUCCCAAUUAGCCUGUCAGCAACACAGACUUAGGCCUGUUACCACCUAAGAGCAGGUGGAGCCAUGUUAAAACUUCUCUAUCUUCUGAAGGAUCCAAGUUUGUAGUACAAGUGCUCCAGCACAAUAUGGAUUAUAUUGGAAGCUGCUUAGUUCUAGCUCUGCUUAACCUGGCGGGUUUUCUGGCCUCCCUCAAAUGGCCACUUGUCAGCCAGCAUCUAUCGCAGUCUGGAGUUGCAGAAGUAGGCAAAAAGUCAAUCUGUGCUCUACAAAGGUCUUUGGCAUUUCAUCACGUGGUAAAGUGUUCGUACAGAACUUGGGAGGAUUAACUGAUCACUGCAGUCAUACUAGAGCUGGCUUGAGGGCAAGAUCUGGUCUCAUCUGGAGGCUGUAUCCCAUACACCCACAAUGUCAGGUUUCCCUUCUCCUGCAGAGUAUCCCUGCUCUGCUGCUCACCUGUACAUAGAAAAGUAGAGCAUGAAGGGGAAGUCCAGAAUCACUCAGGGCUGGCAGUGCUACAGCAUCCUGUGCAAUGAGUAGGAUCAGCAUUUCAGAGGGAUGGGAUAAAUAAACCCUCACUUCUGUAAGUGCUGUUUGAAGAGAUGAAAACAGGUGUACGGAAUUGUGUGUGCUAACUGGUGUCAGUACUGGCUUAAAUUUGUACUGCAGUGAGUUCACUAGUUAGUUGAAAUGAAGACACAGCAAGGAGACUUUUGCUUCCCAGUUGAUAUAUACUUGUUUCAGAGGGAGGUGUUUGAAUCUGAUCUAGGAAUCACCAGCAAGCAUUCUGAGAAAUGGCCUAAGCAGAGAGCAUAUAUUAUUUAACAGUGCAUCUUAAAUGCACCUAUAGGAUAUGACUGUGACUGUUAACUGCUGAGAGACACCUGGUUAAAGAACUGCUUUUAUUCUGCACACGUUGUGCUAGUGGAGCUCAUACAUAAUAGGCAAUCAACAUAUUUAGGUAACACUUGAUUAAGAGGCUGUAUUAUUGCAGGUACUCACUACAAAGAAUGCAUUAAACUGUGUGCAGAACAAGGCUUUUGGAACUUAAAGAUUCAUCACAUUGAAGCAGGCCACCUCUAAGCAUUCCUCGACACAAGGUAAUUUUACUCAGUGAUAAGACCAGAUUAAUUUAUACUCUACAAUCCCACUGCACUCACAUGAGCAGUUGUGCACAUUGCAUAACAGUCCAACUUCUUGAGCUGCAUCUCUGCUAACACACCGUGUUAUGCACAUCUGUUCCUGCUGCAGGUGUUGAAUGGCCCUGAAGGUGUGAUGAGAAGUGGUGGUGUGGAAGAAGUACCCAGCUCAAUUCUGCUCCAAAUCGUUGUGCUAUACUCAGCAGAUGUUCUGAUUUCAGUCAUGUCAUGAAACAAUUUCCUUUUCACUGAUUGCUUCCGUGCCCAACAAUUGCAUCAAACUUGACAUCGCUCAUCUUUUUGAGAUAAUUCAAGGCACGUUCUGGGAACAACCUGGAACAAAAAAAAAAAACCCACAAAAUUAAACGUAGGAUAAGAAUUCA